rnacentral:rRNA from 1 species
UACGUAGGGGGCGAGCGUUGUCCGGAUUUAUUGGGCGUAAAGAGCGUGUAGGCGGUUCGGUAAGUCUGUCGUGAAAUCCUGAGGCUCAACCUUGGACGUGCGCUGGAUACUGCCGGGCUAGAGGAUGGUAGAGGCGAGUGGAAUUCUCGGUGUAGCGGUGAAAUGCGCAGAUAUCAGGAGGAACACCGGUGGCGAAGGCGGCUUGCUGGGCCAGUUCUGACGCUGAGGAGCGAAAGCGUGGGGAGCGAACAGG